rnacentral:tRNA from 1 species
GGAAGGUAGUUCAGUGGUAAAGCACUUGACUAACAUACAUGAAGCCCUGAGUUCAAUCCUUAGUGCUUCCA